rnacentral:rRNA from 1 species
UGUUCUCUAAAUAGGGACUAGUAUGAAAGGCACCACGAGGGCUUAACUGUCUCCCUUUUCCAAUUAAUGAAACUGAUCUUCUCGUGAACCCCAUGGAGCUUUAAACUCAUCAUCAUUUACUUUUUUCACAUCAUCACAUAUAGUAAAAAUGUUAACUGAUAGUUUUCGGCUGGGGUGACCCUGGAGAAAAACAAAUCCUCCAGGAUGAACGGAAUAAUAAUCCUAAUCAAAGAGUCACAACUCUAAGAAUCAAAACAUUGACAUCAUUUGAUCCAAUUACUUGAUCAACGAACCAAGUUACCCUGGGGAUAACAGCGCAAUCCAUUUCAAGAGCCCCUAUCGACAAAUGGGUUUACGACCUCGAUGUUGGAUCGGGGUAUCCCAGUGGCGCAGCCGCUACUAAAGGUUCGUUUGUUCAACGAUUAACAACCCCACGUGAUCU